UACGAAGGGGGCUAGCGUUGUUCGGAAUUACUGGGCGUAAAGCGCGCGCAGGCGGUUUCUCAAGUCAGUGGUGAAAGCCCGGAGCUCAACUCCGGAACUGCCAUUGAAACUGUGAGACUUGAGGACGAGAGAGGUGAGUGGAAUUCCCAGUGUAGAGGUGAAAUUCGUAGAUAUUGGGAAGAACACCGGUGGCGAAGGCGGCUCACUGGCUCGUUUCUGACGCUCAGGCGCGACAGCGUGGGGAUCGAAACAGG
rnacentral:rRNA from 1 species